rnacentral:rRNA from 1 species
GAUGAACGCUGGCGGCGUGCCUAAUACAUGCGAGUCGAGCGAACAGACGAGGAGCUUGCUCCUCUGACGUUAGCGGCGGACGGGUGAGUAACACGUGGAUAACCUACCUAUAAGACUGGGAUAACUUCGGGAAACCGGAGCUAAUACCGGAUAAUAUAUUGAACCGCAUGGUUCAAUAGUGAAAGACGGUUUUGCUGUCACUUAUAGAUGGAUCCGCGCCGCAUUAGCUAGUUGGUAAGGUAACGGCUUACUAAGGCAACGAUGCGUAGCCGACCUGAGAGGGUGAUCGGCCACACUGGAACUGAGACACGGUCCAGACUCCUACGGGAGGCAGCAGUAGGGAAUCUUCCUCAAUGGGCGAAAGCCUGACGGAGCAACGCCGCGUGAGUGAUGAAGGUCUUCGGAUCGUAAAACUCUGUUAUUAGGGAAGAACAAAUGUGUAAGUAACUAUGCACGUCUUGACGGUACCUAAUCAGAAAGCCACGGCUAACUACGUG